UUGCCAUUUUCGCCAUCCCGGAGGGAUUUUUUCAUCUCCCAAUUUUUCACCUGCAGGGCUCGAUCGUUCAAGGCUCGUUGGCAAGCAGAACGUGAUAAAAACUCGUCGAGAAAAUCGGUUCUGAAAUCGACGACUGCUCCGAUCUCGAUCGUCAAAUGACAAUGAGAAAAGCCAGCGCAGUGCAGCUGGCCAACUUCUCAAAUGACCACGUUCGAGGCAAAAGAUUUUGGCGCGGAGGCAUUGACUCUCCUAUCCAUGCGGGAGCUGCUGAAAAUUCCACGAAUAUCUUUUGGCUGCCACGGCUCAAGAGUCACGCGUUUUCCUUACUCGUUGCAAAAAUACAUGUGCUCAUACACUCCCGUGGAAUUCGACUUUCUGCGUAUCGUUUCCACUACGUCAAAUUCUUGAGUCAGCUUCUUGGAUCCCUCUUAUUAUUUCUCGUUACCUCGUCAUUUUCGCCAACACUCAACAAACCUCGGUAACGUAUGUCUGGGAUGACACGUGACCAACAACCCCUUCCAUUAUUCCCCGGACAUUUUUCUCAUUGACAUCGCGUCCCUCGCUCCUCCUCGGGGAUCAGAAUAACUCCCAACUCGCAAGCACCGUUUGCUUCACUCUUGUGUUACAACUCAACCGGUUAACUCCUUUUCGACCGUCGCCCCCUUUCAGUGUCCUCAAGUUUUUCACUUUUCUUCUCUCUCUACGAAAUCACAGUGCAAAAUGGAGGUGGCGAAAGUUGACGACGGGGCAUCGAGCCUGAUCCAGCAAUCCGCGACGAAUAUCUCCUCGUCGGUGACGUCAGUGAAGUCGUCCAAGUCGGUGCACUCGGUACAAACCUCGUCGGUAAUAGAAUCUUCAAAAUCAGUGAAAUCAGUGACGUCCUCGUCGUCGAGAUCGCAAAAGUCGAUCGAGGUCGAAGAGGAAAUCGAGUAUUCAGAAUAAGCCCUUUUAGUCCUAACCAUUAUACCAUUUAACGACGACGAAGACGCCAGCCAUUUAUCCAUUGUUUACUCGUCGCAACGAUCGCGACGCGAUGCGCUGCUACAUCGCGUUGGAAUCGCCCAGAAAUUCAAUCUCACGAACGCACGUUUCUCGAGUUUUGAAGCGAGCCAAGCUCCACUGUUUAUUUCGAAUAAGGAACUGAGCUCUUCGCCGGAAGUCCGGAAACAGACACUUAAGAGAGUCUCCGUCUGACGUGCACAACGAAUUCUUUUAUUUCACCCAAACAAUGGAGCACACGAAGAAUCAAGAAUUGUUGCGAGACAUUGCGUUUCCUUGUGCAUCUUUUGUUAGAAAUACGAUAUUUCCCUACAGCAUAUUUGUAUAAUAAUAAUAAUAAUAAUAUUAAUAAUAAUAAAAAUCGAUUGUAAAAUAGCACUUUUCGGUAUCAUUUCCACAAUUGAGGAAAAAAUAUGUUCCUGGAUAAAACAUUUCGUAUCAGAUCGUUCGAAACUUGAAAUCAAAGCUCGAAUGAGAAAACAAUUCGAUGAAUAAAUCAUUUUUUAUCACACAA